GCUAAGUCCUAAGUCCCUAAUAACUCUCAUCCCCAAGUAAAAAUUUUCAGAAGGAAUUGCACAGAUAUCCUAAGAUGACCUUCCCACUGUUUUGAAAUGGGAUGGCCUUGAAGUAAGUCUGUAACUUCUCCGAACCUCGAGGAUCUCGUUGGUAGUUCAUACUGAGACACUGAGUGAAUGGGUGACUGACAGCCCCCUUCUACAGACGACUGCUAAGCACUGUUCCUUCCGGACCACAGCUCGUCAGAAUUUCCCAGCAGCCCCUGGUGAAAGCCACUCCCAGAUGUAGUCCAUAAAGCUACCCCCACAGUCUUCGAUCUGUGCCCUUCCCCUUGUGUGGCCUUAGUCCAAAGGUCCGCAUUCACUUUCCGGCUUCGCGUUAUACGGGCAAGCUGCUCCCCGGAAAAAGGAAGCCCAUUGUAAGGUCAGCUCUGGAACUGGCUCAGCGACUACCCACCACCUGAUACCACCACUGUAGACUGGUAUAGUUUAUCCCAAAUUUCAGCUUAGGGAGUCUGAAAGCCAGAGGGGUUCAAGAGCUUGCCUGAGGCCUAGGCAUCAUUGCUACCCAGCCGGGGAGGAUAAGAUCUCUCGGGUCCUACCUGCUUUCCCUAUUUGAAACCUGUUUGUUGGGGGGAACAAUUGACCUCACCAGAGUGAGUUUCACAUUUUCCCAUUACAAAAGGAAAAUGAGAAAAAGAUGCCCUAGAUAGCACAGAGAAAAAUACUUCCUUGUGUUAAUUGCCUUUCUAUUUCAAUCGAGGGAGGCACUUAAUUAUUUCUGAACUACAUUCAAAACUCUCUCUUCCUCAAGACUAGCCCUCUCCCCGGGUGAGUUAACACAGCCUGUGCCUUCUGUUUCCAAAGACUGAGUCAUAACAGCAGGCAUUUGCUGGGCACCUUGUUUGUGCCUUUGCUCCACAGUCUUCACUACUGACCCCAUUUGCUCCCCACCGCAGGGACAUAGCAUGGGCCCUCUAACAGCUGAGAAAUCCGAGGCACAGACUCCACUCCUUAUGACCCUGCCACUAGACAGAGACUUGGGGCUCUCCUCUGUGGUCCCCACUGCUGGCUAUGCGGGGGAACCGUUCAAGAGGACUAGGUGUGGCUGCUUCUGAGUCAGUCAAGGAUCUCAAACUUCUGGAGACUGAGAGAGAUGGUGUAGUGGCCAAAGAGACAACAGGGGCAGGGUGCUGCUGACUUUUUAGACAUCCACGGAAAGAAAGCUUUGCUGCUGAGUGGCAGGGCCCUGGAAAACGUGCCUUCAGUCACCUCCACUGACUUCAUCGGGGCUGUGAAAUUGGGAGAAGAAACCUUCCUUGGCUUUUUCAGAUUCCAGUCAGGUGGGCCUGGUGCUCCUACCUUCUGCUCUCCUGAUCUGGGAAGGUUGCGUUUCAAGAAGCCCUUUGGAGGCCUGAAGCCACGAGUGAUGCUGAACUCUGUGUUUCCCAGCUGACCACAAGUAACUGGAAGAGGAAACGGUGGGAAAGAAGGGACAGUUCUAAACUCGGACAGCAUGACGCAUGUGUUAUACAAGGAGUAACAAGUAUCCUUCCGCAUGAUGGACUGGACGGUCCAAUCCACCUUGUAUUAAACAGAGUAAAAGCGUGUAAUGUGUGGGCUGCAUUCAGAGGAAACAGAUUCUUCAAAUUGUUCACAAGUUCCUUAAACUUAACAAUCAGUAAAGUGUGGGGUAUUUUAUAUAUUUAAGCCAAAGGGUUUUAUAACUUAAGUUAGCAGUAUUUUAUGCUUUAAGGUUCUCUUGAUUCUGACAGCACAAUCACUUUUACAUAUUUUGAUAGAAAUAUUCUAUUUUUGAUAACUUUGCAUGUGUGAGAAACAUUGUUCCUUUAAAUAUAAAAUAUAG